UGCAGCUCCACGCCUGACUUUGCCAUCCUGUUGCUGGGGCUCUGGAUUACUUUGUUUUGUCCUUUGCUGUUACAGCCUGUCCUGAACAUUCUUUCCAGGUCUCCUGUGUACAUGGGCAGGGUUCCUCUGCUGGAGCCUGAGGGCUGCCAUGUCCAUGCAUCUGCAGCUUGUCCUCAGCCCUGCCACACUCCUCAGCCUGAAUCGUGCUUGUUCCUGCUGCUCACAGGGAGAGAAAACUGCCCGAAGACAAAGCUGACACGUAGGAGACGAGAGCGGAGAGAAGUACAGAGAACUGGAAUCAGAGUCUGAUAAUGUGAGCUGCCAGAGAAAACUGCGCCCGAACUCGUGUCUGGACUUCAUCCUAAGUGAUAACUCACACAGGUUGCCAGAGGACUGAGAAGAGAACACCGCCGUGUCCCUGUGUGCCAGGCUGGGCGCUUAACACGCCACUAUCACCAAAUCCUUACAGCUGUGGGGUUGGACCUGGUGGAAAACAGGCCUGGAGUUAGAGUGUGUCUGAUUUCCACCUCCGCAAUAACCAGAUGACCCAGGCAAAUCACUUUACUGCCUCAAUCAUCUGCCACCUCCUGCGCACACUAGGAAAGAUGGUUACUUAACCCCAUCCAGUGGACGUGAGAACUCCAAGAAGGAAAUCUAGCAGAGAGCCUGGUACAAAUGAACUUAGCCCAGGCUCAUGAACACACUCACUAACUAUCUGAAUACACACCAUCAAGUCCUGUUAAGGACUUGCGAUCAGUGUGGUGUCUGGCUCCAGGAGCCCAUGCAAAUGUCAGUUACACAAAUGAGGGCCUCCCUGAGAUAAAGACAAACAAUGGCCAGAAAGAAAUUUCACCUGCAAGGCCUCUUACGAGGAGGCCUCUUUUCCCAACUAUCCCGAGGGUAUGAAUCUAAGCCCAUGUCACAGACAAUAUCAUAUCUGGGAACACACUGAAGUAUGUGUGCUAGUUUGGUGGUGAUGAAAGAGGGACUUAUCAGAUUGGUCUGAGGAAGAAAGAGGUGUGAAAAAAGUUUCAUAUCCUUUACACUAGUCAUUGAU